rnacentral:rRNA from 1 species
GAUGAACGCUGGCGGCGUGCCUAACACAUGCAAGUCGAACGGGGUUAAAGAGAAAUUUUCGGAUGGACCUUUAACUUAGUGGCGGACGGGUGAGUAACGCGUGGAUAACCUGCCUCGCACAGGGGGAUAGCAGCUGGAAACGGCUGGUAAUACCGCAUAAGACCACGGUCCCGCAUGGGACAGGGGUAAAAGAUUUAUCGGUGCGAGAUGGAUCCGCGUCUGAUUAGCUUGUUGGCGGGGUAACGGCCCACCAAGGCAACGAUCAGUAGCCGGCCUGAGAGGGUGAACGGCCACAUUGGGACUGAGACACGGCCCAAACUCC